CCUACGGGUGGCAGCAGUCGAGACUCAUUCACAAUGGGGGAAACCCUGAUGGUGCGACGCCGCGUGGGGGAAUGAAGGUCUUCGGAUUGUAAACCCCUGUCAUGUGGGAGCAAAUUAAAAAGAUAGUACCACAAGAGGAAGAGACGGCUAACUCUGUGCCAGCAGCCGCGGUAAUACAGAGGUCUCAAGCGUUGUUCGGAAUCACUGGGCGUAAAGCGUGCGUAGGCUGUUUCGUAAGUCGUGUGUGAAAGGCGCGGGCUCAACCCGCGGACGGCACAUGAUACUGCGAGACUAGAGUAAUGGAGGGGGAACCGGAAUUCUCGGUGUAGCAGUGAAAUGCGUAGAUAUCGAGAGGAACACUCGUGGCGAAGGCGGGUUCCUGGACAUUAACUGACGCUGAGGCACGAAGGCCAGGGGAGCGAGAGGGAUUAGAUACCCCAGUAGUC
rnacentral:rRNA from 1 species